AUGUCCAAUCGGACUGGACCUCGAAACACAUACCUACUCAAGACAUCAAAAGACUUUGAAUGUACUAGCUGAUCAAAGAUACAAUUCCUUCUGUCCAAAGUAAAAUUCGUAAGACAUCAAUGAUUAAGCUAUAUUCCAUAAUUAGAAUCUAGACAACAAAGGUCAGUAAUAAAUAUGAACGACAUUCGAUAUAUAACAUUGUAUCGAUGCGUUGUUUCCAAGUUAUCUAAGGUCGGAGUCAGUCACCUUACGCGCCAAGACGACACUGCACUUUAUUUUAUAAUUUUCCAUAAACAAUAAUGGACCCGGAAAGACAGCCAUUGCUGCAGCAGGCAAGGAGAGUGAGACCACUGAGCUACGAAGAAGUACUACGUACGAGUACCCAGCUACCCUGGCGAAGUGCCAGGUUCCUCAUCAUCCUCUUAUUCUGGGCAACGAUGGCUAUGUUCCUGUCCAUGAUUGUUUGCAUACUCCUCACCAGUGCCUGCUCUAUUUCCGGGAAUGGACCUACAGUACCACCCGUACAUUUGACCUUUGCACCUCUUAUAUCGAGAACUAUGCACUAGAUAGUUUAAAUAUAUUUGUUGUAG